rnacentral:rRNA from 1 species
GGUUAAGCGACUAAGCGUACACGGUGGAUGCCCUGGCAGUCAGAGGCGAUGAAGGGCGUGCUAAUCUGCGAUAAGCGCCGGUAAGGUGAUAUGAACCGUUAUAACCGGCGAUACCCGAAUGGGGAAACCCAGUGUGACUCGUCACACUAUCAUUAACUGAAUCCAUAGGUUAAUGAGGCGAACCGGGGGAACUGAAACAUCUAAGUACCCCGAGGAAAAGAAAUCAACCGAGAUUCCCCCAGUAGCGGCGAGCGAACGGGGAGGAGCCCAGAGCCUGAAUCAGCAUGUGUGUUAGUGGAAGCGUCUGGAAAGGCGCGCGAUACAGGGUGACAGCCCCGUACACAAAAGCGCAUGUGCUGUGAGCUCGAUGAGUAGGGCGGGACACGUGGUAUCCUGUCUGAAUAUGGGGGGACCAUCCUCCAAGGCUAAAUACUCCUGACUGACCGAUAGUGAACCAGUACCGUGAGGGAAAGGCGAAAAGAACCCCGGCGAGGGGAGUGAAAAAGAACCUGAAACCGUGUACGUACAAGCAGUGGGAGCACCCUUUGGGGUGUGACUGCGUACCUUUUGUAUAAUGGGUCAGCGACUUAUAUUCUGUAGCAAGGUUAACCGAAUAGGGGAGCCGCAGGGAAACCGAGUCUUAAUUGGGCGUUAAGUUGCAGGGUAUAGACCCGAAACCCGGUGAUCUAGCCAUGGGCAGGUUGAAGGUUGGGUAACACUAACUGGAGGACCGAACCGACUAAUGUUGAAAAAUUAGCGGAUGACCUGUGGCU